rnacentral:pre_miRNA from 1 species
UCUUAAGGAUGAGCAAAGACAGUGAUUUUCUGAGAUGGAAUCUACUCCUGGUGAAGAUGCUAUGAA